AUUGAACGCUGGCGGCAGGCCUAACACAUGCAAGUCGAACGAGUGGCGGACGGGUGAGUAAUGUCUGGGAAACUGCCUGAUGGAGGGGGAUAACUACAGGAAACGGUAGCUAAUACCGCAUACCAUCAGAUGUGCCCAGAUGGGAUUCUCUUGUUGGUGGGGUAACGGAUCACCAAGGCGACGAUCCCUAGCUGGUCUGAGAGGAUGACCAGCCACACUGGAACUGGGACACGGUCCAGCCUCCUACGGGAGGCCGCAGUGGGGAAUAUUGCACAAUGGGCGCAAGCCUGAUGCAGCCAUGCCGCGUGUCUGAAGAAGUCCUUCGGGUUGUAAAGUACUUUCAGCGGGGAGGCGGGAACCGAAGAAGAAGCACCGGCUAACUCCGUGCCAGCAGCCACGGUAAUAA
rnacentral:rRNA from 1 species